rnacentral:misc_RNA from 1 species
UCCCCGUUACCGGGGCAGUCUGAUUAGAAAAAUCCAACUAAUCACAAGGGUUGCGCUCGUUGAUGGACUUAACCAAACAUCUCACGACACGAGCUGACGACGGCCAUGCAUCACCUGUCACUUGGUUCCGAAGCACUCUCUGCUUUCGCAGAAAUUCCAAGGAUGUCAAGCCUGGGUAAGGUUCUUCGCUUACCUUCGAAUUAAAGAACACGCUCCACCGCUUGUGCGGGUCCCCGUCAAUUCCUUUAUGUUUUAGUCUUGCGACCGUACUCCACAGGUGCAGGACUUAACGCGUUAGCUCCGGGACGCUCCACGAACGUGAAGCACCCCAAGUCCUGAUCGUUUAGGGCUAGGACUAC